UUAUGGUAGGGCUUCACACGUCAUACAAUGGUCGGUACGAGAGGGUUGCCAAGCCGCGAGGUGGGGCCAAUCCCUUAAAGCCGAUCGUAGUCCGGAUCGUAGUCUGCAACUCGACUACGUGAAGUCGGAAUCGCUAGUAAUCGCAGAUCAGCAUGCUGCGGUGAAUACGUUCCCGGGUCUU
rnacentral:rRNA from 1 species